UAGGGAAUAUUGGACAAUGGGUGAGAGCCUGAUCCAGCCAUGCCGCGUGCAGGAAGAAGGCGUUAUGCGUUGUAAACUGCUUUUGCCAGGGGAUAAAAAGACCGUGCGCGGUUAAUUGAAGGUACCUGGUGAAUAAGCCACGGCUAACUACGUGCCAGCAGCCGCGGUAAUACGUAGGUGGCAAGCGUUGUCCGGAUUUAUUGGGUUUAAAGGGUGCGUAGGUGGCCCUGUAAGUCAGUGGUGAAAUAUCUCAGCUUAACUGAGAGGGUGCCAUUGAUACUGCAGGGCUUGAGUACAGAUGAGGUAGGCGGAAUUGACGGUGUAGCGGUGAAAUGCAUAGAUAUCGUCAAGAACACCGAUAGCGAAGGCAGCUUACCAAGCUGUAACUGACACUGAGGCACGAAAGUGUGGGAUCAAACAGGAUUAGAUACCCCCGUAGUCCCUGAGCGGGCUGGCAAGGCGCAU
rnacentral:rRNA from 1 species